GCCAGUGUGAUGUAGUGGAUUGAAUAAUGGACUAGGAAUCCGGAGACCAGGGUUCGAAUCCUGGCUCAGCCA